CAAGGUUUCCGUAGUGAACCUNCGGAAGGAUCAUUACCACACCCUCAAAUA
rnacentral:rRNA from 1 species